GUGUCAGCCGCCGCGGUAAUACGUAGGUGGCAAGCGUUGUCCGGAAUUAUUCGGCGUAAAGGGCUCGCAGGCGGUUCCUUAACUCUGAUGUGAAAGCCCCCGGCUCAACCGGGGAGGGUCAUUGGAAACUGGGGAACUUGAGUGCAGAAGAGGAGAGUGGAAUUCCAUGUGUACCGGUGAAAUGCGUAGAGAUAUGGAGGAACACCAGUGGCGAAGGCGGCUUCCUGGUCUGUAACUGACACUGAGGCGCGAAAGCGUGGGUAGCAAACAGGAUUAGAAACCCCCGUAGUC
rnacentral:rRNA from 1 species